rnacentral:rRNA from 1 species
GGGUUAAGUCCCGCAACGAGCGCAACCCCUACGUUUAGUUGCUAACGCGUGAAGGCGAGCACUCUAGACGAACUGCCGUUGACAAAACGGAGGAAGGUGGGGAUGACGUCAAAUCAUCAUGCCCCUUAUGUUCUGGGCUACACACGUGCUACAAUGGCCGGUACAGACGGACGCAAAGCCGCGAGGCGGAGCAAAUCCGAAAAAGCCGGUCUCAGUUCGGAUUGCAGGCUGCAAUUCGCCUGCAUGAAGUCGGAAUCGCUAGUAAUCGCAGGUCAGCAUACUGCGGUGAAUACGUUCCCGGGCCUU